UCGACUUGGAGGUUGUGCCCUUGAGGCGUGGCUUCCGGAGCUAACGCGUUAAGUCGACCGCCUGGGGAGUACGGCCGCAAGGUUAAAACUCAAAUGAAUUGACGGGGGCCCGCACAAGCGGUGGAGCAUGUGGUUUAAUUCGAUGCAACGCGAAGAACCUUACCUGGUCUUGACAUCCACGGAAGUUUUCAGAGAUGAGAAUGUGCCUUCGGGAACCGUGAGACAGGUGCUGCAUGGCUGUCGUCAGCUCGUGUUGUGAAAUGUUGGGUUAAGUCCCGCAACGAGCGCAACCCUUAUCCUUUGUUGCCAGCGGUCCGGCCGGGAACUCAAAGGAGACUGCCAGUGAUAAACUGGAGGAAGGUGGGGAUGACGUCAAGUCAUCAUGGCCCUUACGACCAGGGCUACACACGUGCUACAAUGGCGCAUACAAAGAGAAGCGACCUCGCGAGAGCAAGCGGACCUCAUAAAGUGCGUCGUAGUCCGGAUUGGAGUCUGCAACUCGACUCCAUGAAGUCGGAAUCGCUAGUAAUCGUGGAUCAGAAUGCCACGGUGAAUACGUUCCCGGGCCUUGUACACACCGCCCGUCACACCAUGGGAGUGGGUUGCAAAAGAAGUAGGUAGCUUAACCUUCGGGAGGGCGCUUACCACUUUGUGAUUCAUGACUGGGGUGAAGUCGUAACAAGGUAACCGUAGGGGAACCUGCGGUUGGAUCACCUCCUUACCUUAAAGAAGC
rnacentral:rRNA from 1 species